UUAAAAGAAUGGCUGAAUAAAUACGAAAUUAGCAAUAAUACAAAUUAUUCAAUAUAUCGUUCUAAAAAAUCUAAGGACCCUAUAUUUAAGUCUUCAAUAAUAUAUGAACGACUUUAUUACCAAUGCUAUGACGGCAAAGUCAGAUCGUCCAAAUCAAAAGAAAAGACAAAGAUUGUCAGUGAAAAAAAAUUGCUUGUCUAGAAUCUCGUUUACCCAAGAUGGAUCAUACCUAAAAUGUAUCCGUAUAUAUGAUAUACAUAAUCAUGAUAGAGAUCUAUCUUUGUUCAUGGCAUCUUCCCGCCAAAGACAAUUGGAUGAUGAUCAAAAAACUAUAAUUCAUCAAGCUCUUAAAUAUGAUGGAAAUCUUACCUUGAUCCAUCAAGAGAUGAAAAAAAAAUUUUUUAUUAUUACUAAAAGGGAUUUAUAUAAUCUCAAACAUAAAUAUAUGAAAAAUCCAUGUAGCAUUAAUGAUCUGGAAGACCUCAUUAAAACAAUAAAAUUAGAUGUCUCUAAUAUUGUCGAAUUAUUUGAAGAAAAUGACAUCUUCAAAGCAUUAUAUUAUCAAACUAAUAAAAUGCAAAGUCAUUAUUAUAGAUAUCCUGAAGUUGUCUUAAUUGAUGCCACAUAUAAUCUAAACUCUUAUCACUUACCAGUCUUUACUUUGGGCAUAAUAGAUGGUGAAGAAAAUACCAGAAUAGUUGCCAUCUGGUUAGUUUUAUAAGCUCCAUGACUAUCAAAAAAAUGUGCCAAAUAUUUAAAAAAUAUAAUAAUAAUUUUCUAAAAACUCUAACAAUCAUAUCUGAUAAAAAUUUUACGAAAGAUCAAUAUAUCAAGAUGAAUUUCCCAAUGCAAAAUUGGAAAUUUGUAUCUUUCAUGUUUUACAAAUAUUUAAAAGACAAAUUACAACAAUUAAAUACAAUUUAACUUUUAUAGAAGUUAAAAAAAUGCUACUCCUAUUUAAAAAAUUAGUGUAUGCAGAAACCCCAGGCAUAUAUUGGAAAUAUUAUUAUUUUUUAAAAAAUUCUAAACAUCAAAGGGUAUUUUUAUACUAUGAUAAAAAUUGGCAUGGAAUUCGUGAAGAAUUUAGCCUAGCGUGGAGAAACAAAUCCUUAAAUUUUGGAAACUUUACAAACAAUAGAAUUGAAGGGACAAAUCGGGCCCUAAAAAGGAUCAUUAAAAGGAAUUCUUCUUUAUUUAUCUUCUACAAAAAUUUGAAUGAAUAUUUAAAUUGUUUGGAGGACAAGAAUAGGAAUAUAAUCCUUUCCAAUAGUAGACUAAAUAAUACAAGUCUGCUGCCAUCAUCUCCACAAUUUUUAUAUUUUAAAUUAUUAACUUUAAAAGCUUUUAAUAGAGUACACUUACAAAUAAAAUAUUCUCAUAAUAUAACUUAUGAAGACUUCAAUGUUAGUGAGAAACUAUGUAAUUGUGGUUUCCAGCAAAGGUAUCUUUUACCUUGUAAACAUAUUUUCAAAUAUAGAGAGGACAACGAUAUCUGUCUCUAUGAUGACUCUUUAUGUGCAUUGAGGUGGUCGAAAGAAUAUAAUCUUCAACCAUAUUUAAAUGAAAAUAAUGAUAUUUAUGAAGAGGAACGAGAUGAUUUAGAUAUAGAAAUUUUUCCAAAAAAUACUAAAAAUGAUUGCAAAUUUACAGAUAAUAAAAUAUAUAAGAUGACAAGAAUAUUUUCACAAUAAUAUUGGCAACUUCAUUAAGGAGCUACCAAUUGAUCUGAUGAUGUUAUGCUUUCAGGAAUUAAGAGAAGCAUGUGAAAAGGUUUGUAACUUAGAAUACCUGAAAACCAAAAAAAGGAUAAAUAUAUUGGAAAACAAGGAAAAUAUUAUAAAUUUACCUUCUUGUUCAAAUUCUUUAGAAUUAAUUAAAACUUUACAAAUGCCACAAAAAAUAAACAGAAAAAAGAAAAAAAUGCAGCUGACUAUUUUUAAUAAAAAAAAAGCUUUAAACAAAGAAAUAGACACUGAUAUUGAUCUUUUCUUAGAGCAAGAUAUCACAAACCAAAAUCUACAAGAAUUACCCAUAGAGGCCCUA